rnacentral:tRNA from 1 species
GUCAGGAUGGCCGAGCGGUCUAAGGCGCUGCGUUCAGGUCGCAGUCCGGUCUACCGGGCGUGGGUUCGAAUCCCACUUCUGACA